rnacentral:lncRNA from 1 species
UGCAGAAGUUACCACCUACAUUGAACACAGAGAAGUCAAGUGGUUCCCACUUAGAGCCUCUACCCCUGUGGACUAGUGCUCAUGGUCCUGGAACAUACUCUGCAUGUUACCCAGCUCCAAACUCUUCAGUGUACAAGAGUGACUUGGACACCGGUGUGAUAGUGACACAAAUCUUGUGGCAGUAAAUUAGAAUCUGAUUUAACUUAAGGCAUACUCCAUGAAAUGGAACCGAUGCUCAAGGCUGUUUAGGUGACCAAGAACUAGAUAACCUAGUUAGACUAGAUAGCCCAUGGGCACAGAGGAAAACCAAAUUCUACUGCGCUGCUGACGGAGUGUAGCUAAAAUGACUUCUGCUGUACUCAUAGAUCUGUGCCUUGCUCAACCAUUGUUAGAGAAGCUGCCUCCUGCAGCAGAUGGCAACACAUAGAGACCUAUUGCCAAACAAUUUGCAGAGAGUGAAAAACCUUGGAACACUUAGCCCUCAAAGUGAUGCCUCUAUCAAAUCUCUCUCCUCGUGGCUCAAGGAACUCUGUGGAAGAGGAGGCAGAAAGAGUGUGAGAGCUGAGGAAAUGGAGGACACCAAGCAAUCAAGGCCUUCUGGACACAACAGGGCUGAGGCCCACAGGAUCUCACAGUACCAGAGUAGCAUGAACAGGACCUGCUUGAGUCUGCAACCAGAUGGGGUCUACAGCUGAAAGAGAAAGUUUACAAAUGUCCCCAUCCCUAACCUAGAAGCUAUCUGCAAGCAAUAACCACUUAUGAAUGAAAAGAUGGUUUUUUUGGAAGGGAGUCUCACUGGAAACAAACCACUCGGCAGGGCACAGAUCUACUGAUGCCAUGUGUCCAUUUGAAGCUGUCAGAAGAUGAUGCCACAAUCUUAAGAGCCUCUGGAUGGGAUGUGCCACUGGGGCUUAGAGGGUUUCAGAAGAGAGAUUUGAUCUGUCCAUAAGGUUGGUGAUCAUAAUUUACUAAUAUUUGUCAUCUCUGCUCUCAGGCAAGGUUCACACUCCACCAGGCAAAUGGACCAUUGAUCAAACAUUGGUUUGUUCAGGUGACAACUAUAUUAUUGGCUCUGUUUAUCUCACUGGCACUUAGGAAAUCCAGACCUAAAUGGAUCCAGACGCACCCCUCCCCCCAUCGCCAAGCACACACAUACAGAAGCCAAGAAGCAAAGUAAAGCAACAAUGAACAGUGUGGAGAUGCGAUGCCAGCUGAUGAACAGAAGCAAAGUUCCUCCAAGCCAGGCUUGUGAGGGAUGCUCAGCACGCAGAACUCUCAGCACGCAGAACUCAGGCCUCUGGCUCCAGGGUCGCUCUCACUGACCAGUGGACCAGCUCCCAAGGAAUAAACAUCGAUGUGGUCUCAUUUCCUGAGAGCCUGAAAAACAGUCUCAUUCAGCGAUGGAAGAAAGAGCCAGCAGAGAGGACGCUUCACACCGAUGCUGCUUAGGGCUCUCUGUCCCAACACUUCUGUACAAACAACACUUCAUGUCUCACUAAUGCUUAGAACUUUGUUUCCUUUUCCUUCUCCCCUUUAUGGGUACUUUCGUGCAUAUACAUAUGAAUGGAUGGAUGAAUGAAUGAAUGUGCAUGAGAUUAAAAUUAUUGUUAGAAGUACCUGCUGCUUAUGGAAACAUAUUAACCAGCUGGAUUAACUCUUAAGGGGAAAGACAAGGCUCUACAGUGUUCUUUGUGACAGAUCGGAUUGGCAUGUCUCCACGCAGGGACAGAGGUAGACUCCAUCCUUUACAGAGCCCAUCAGGAAAGAAGUAUAGCAAUGUGGCGGCAUAUUCUGAAAUUUGAAGAUCACCUUCUAAGAUUCAUCGAUGAAAACCUUCAAAGCUCUGGCCUGUUAAAGAAAGCACGUAGUCUGUCCACCUCCCUCCUGUCAAGACAAAAAAUCUGGUCUUUUCAUCGGCGUUCUCUGUAUAAAUCUGCGGAUUUAGUUGUAAAUGA